rnacentral:rRNA from 1 species
AUUGAACGCUGGCGGCAGGCCUAACACAUGCAAGUCGAGCGGAUGAGUGGAGCUUGCUCCAUGAUUCAGCGGCGGACGGGUGAGUAAUGCCUAGGAAUCUGCCUGGUAGUGGGGGACAACGUUUCGAAAGGAACGCUAAUACCGCAUACGUCCUACGGGAGAAAGCAGGGGACCUUCGGGCCUUGCGCUAUCAGAUGAGCCUAGGUCGGAUUAGCUAGUUGGUGAGGUAAAGGCUCACCAAGGCGACGAUCCGUACUGGUCUGAGAGGAUGAUCAGUCACACUGGAACUGAGACACGGUCCAGACUCCUACGGGAGGCAGCAGUGGGGAAUAUUGGACAAUGGGCGAAAGCCUGAUCCAGCCAUGCCGCGUGUGUGAAGAAGGUCUUCGGAUUGUAAAGCACUUUAAGUUGGGAGGAAGGGCAGUAAGUUAAUACCUUGCUGUUUUGACGUUACCGACAGAAUAAGCACCGGCUAACUUCGUGCCAGCCGCCGCCGUAAAAC